UCUGCAGCCUUCCUCCGGUCAAGGGGCCUUGCUUUGCAAAUAAGAAGUACUACUACUAUGACGCUAAAAAAGAGAUCUGCAAAACAUUUAUCUAUGGUGGAUGUGGAGGGAAUGGGAAUAAGUUCAAGACCGACAAGGCAUGCUUCUAUGCUUGUGUGACGUAAGGAAGGAAGAAGUGAAAAAAAGAUGCCCACCAUGCCAACUCUUCCAUCGGAGCUUCACUGGCACCCCCACCCCUGAGUGCCCCUCACAGAAUCCCUCCCUAUGGUAGUGUUGGCAGAAAGUGAAAUAAAGUGGCAUUUGUGUGU